UACGUAGGGGGCAAGCGUUAUCCGGAAUUAUUGGGCGUAAAGGGUGCGUAGGCGGGAAUUUAAGUAAGGUGUGAAAUCCCUCGGCUCAACUGAGGAACUGCAACUUAAACUGAAUUUCCUGAGUGUAGGAGAGGAAAGCGGAAUUCCUAGUGUAGCGGUGAAAUGCGUAGAUAUUAGGAGGAACACCAGUGGCGAAGGCGGCUUUCUGGACUAUAACUGACGUUGAUGCACGAAAGUGUGGGGAGCAAACAGG
rnacentral:rRNA from 1 species